rnacentral:tRNA from 3 species
GCAGGGGUACCCGAGCUGGUCAAAGGGGCCGGACUUAAGCUCCGGUGCUUAGUGCUUCGUGGGUUCAAAUCCCACCCCCUGCACCA